CAGGCCUAACACAUGCAAGUCGAGCGGUAACAGAAGAAAGCUUGCUUUCUUUGCUGACGAGCGGCGGACGGGUGAGUAAUGCCUGGGAAUAUGCCUUAGUGUGGGGGAUAACUAUUGGAAACGAUAGCUAAUACCGCAUAACGUCUUCGGACCAAAGAGGGGGACCUUCGGGCCUCUCGCGCUAAGAUUAGCCCAGGUGGGAUUAGCUAGUUGGUGAGGUAAAGGCUCACCAAGGCAACGAUCCCUAGCUGGUCUGAGAGGAUGAUCAGCCACACUGGAACUGAGACACGGUCCAGACUCCUACGGGAGGCAGCAGUGGGGAAUAUUGCACAAUGGGGGAAACCCUGAUGCAGCCAUGCCGCGUGUAUGAAGAAGGCCUUCGGGUUGUAAAGUACUUUCAGUCGUGAGGAAGGCAUUGUAGUUAAUAGCUGCAGUGCUUGACGUUAGCGACAGAAGAAGCACCGGCUAACUCCGUG
rnacentral:rRNA from 1 species